rnacentral:pre_miRNA from 1 species
CCGGACCGCCGGAUCCGGCGGCCGGACCGUCGGAUCCGGCGGCCGGACCGUCGGAUCCGGCGACCGGA